GAUGAACGCUGGCGGCGUGCUUAAUACAUGCAAGUCGAGCGAACAGACGAGGAGCUUUCUCCUCUUACGUUAGCGGCGGACGGGGGAGUAACACGUGGAAUACCUACCUACUUCACUGGGAUAACUCCGGUAGACCGGACUUCUUACCGGAUAAUAUAUUUAAUCUCAUGGUUCAAUAGUGAAAAACGGUUUUGCUGUCACUUAUACAUGCAUUCGCGCCGGAUUAGCUAUUUGGUAAGGUAACGGCUUGCCAAGGCAACGAUGCGUACCCGACCUGAGAGAGGGAUCGGCCAAACGGGAACUGAAACACGGUCCGGACUCCUACGGGAGGCGGCAGUAGGAAAUCUUCCGCAAUGGGCGAAAGCUUGACGGAGCAACGCCGCGUGGGUGAUACAGGUCUUCGGUUCGAAAGACUCUUUUAUCGGGGAAAAACGACUGCUUGAGAAUAGAUGCACGGAUUGACGGUACCUGAACAGAAAGCCACGGCUAACUACGUG
rnacentral:rRNA from 1 species